GUAACCACAUUUCUAUGUACAGUUAACAUCAAACUGUUACUGACGGUAACCACAUUUCUAUGUACAGUUAACAUCAAACUGUUACUGACGGUAACCACAUUUCUAUGUACAGUUAACAUCAAACUGUUACUGACGGUAACCACAUUUCUAUGUACAGUAUACAUCAAACUGUUACUGACGGUAACCACAUUUCUAUGUACAGUUAACAUCAAACUGUUACUGAUGGUAACCACAUUUCUAUGUACAGUAAACAUCAACUGUUACCAACGGUAACCACAUUUCUAUGUACAGUACGGUAACCACAUUUCUAUGUACAGUAAACAUCAAACUGUUACUGACGGUAACCACAUUUCUAUGUACAGUAUACAUCAAACUGUUACUGACGGUAACCACAUUUCUAUGUACAGUUUACAUCAAACUGUUACUGACUGUAACCACAUUUCUAUGUACAGUAAACAUCAAACUGUUACUGACGGUAACCACAUUUCUAUGUACAGUAUACAUCAAACUGUUACUGACGGUAACCACAUUUCUAUGUACAGUUAACAUCAAACUGUUACUGACGGUAACCACAUUUCUAUGUACAGUAAACAUCAACUGUUACCAACGGUAACCACAUUUCUAUGUACAGUAUACAUGUACAUCAACUGUUACCAACGGUAACCACAUUUCUAUGUACAGUACGGUAACCACAUUUCUAUGUACAGUAAACAUCAAACUGUUACUGACGGUAACCACAUUUCUAUGUACAGUAAACAUCAAACUGUUACUUACGGUAACCACAUUUCUAUGUACAGUAAACAUCAAACUGUUACUAACGGUAACCACAUUUCUAUGUACAGUAUACAUCAAACUGUUACUGACGGUAACCACAUUUCUAUGUACAGUAAACAUCAAACUGUUACUAACGGUAACCACAUUUCUAUGUACAGUAUACAUCAAACUGUUACUGACGGUAACCACAUUUCUAUGUACAGUAAACAUCAAACUGUUACUGUACGGUAACCACAUUUCUAUGUACAGUAUACAUCAAACUGUUACUGACGGUAACCACAUUUCUAUGUACAGUAAACAUCAAACUGUUACUGACGGUAACCACAUUUCUAUGUACAGUAAACAUCAACUGUUACUGAUGGUAACCAAGUAACCACAUUUCUAUGUACAGUACGGUUACCACAUUUCUAUGUACAGUAAACAUUAACUGUUACUGAUGGUAACCACAUUUCUAUGUACAGUAAACAUCAACUGUUACUGAUGGUAACCACAUUUCUAUGUACAGUUAACAUCAAACUGUUACUGACUGUAACCACAUUUCUAUGUACAGUAUACAUCAACUGUUACUGACGGUAACCAAGUAACCACAUUUCUAUGUACAGGACGGUAACCACAUUUCUAUGUACAGUAAACAUUAAACUGUUACUAACGGUAACCAAGUAACCACAUUUCUAUGUACAGUACGGUAACCACAUUUCUAUGUACAGUACGGUAACCACAUUUCUAUGUACAGUAAACAUUAAACUGUUACUGUACGGUAACCACAUUUCUAUGUACUGUACGGUAACCACAUUUCUAUGUACAGUACGGUAACCACAUUUCUAUGUACAGUAAACAUCAAACUGUUACUGACGGUAACCACAUUUCUAUGUACAGUACGGUAACCACAUUUCUAUGUACUGUACGGUAACCACAUUUCUAUGUACAGUAAACAUCAACUGUUACUGUACGGUAACCACAUUUCUAUGUACAGUACGGUAACCACAUUUCUAUGUACAGUAAACAUCAACUGUUACUGACGGUAACCAAGUAACCACAUUUCUAUGUACAGGACGGUAACCACAUUUCUAUGUACAGUAAACAUUAAACUGUUACUAACGGUAACCACAUUUCUAUGUACAGUAAACAUCAAACUGUUACUGACGGUAACCAGGUAACCACAUUUCUAUGUACAGGACGGUAACCACAUUUCUAUGUACAGUAAACAUCAAACUGUUACUAACGGUAACCACAUUUCUAUGUACAGUAAACAUCAACUGUUACUGACGGUAACCACAUUUCUAUGUACAUUAAACAUCCAACUGUUACCAACGGUAACCACAUUUCUAUGUACAGUACGGUUACCACAUUUCUAUGUACAGUAUACAUCAAAUGGUUACUGACGGUAACCAAAUUUCUAUGUACAGUACGGUAACCACAUUUCUAUGUACAGUACGGUUACCACAUUUCUAUGUACAGUAAACAUCAAACUGUUACUGACGGUAACCACAUUUCUAUGUACAGUACGGUAACCACAUUUCUAUGUACAGUAUACAUCAAACUGUUACUGUACGGUAACCACAUUUCUAUGUACAGUACAGUAACCACAUUUCUAUGUACAGUACGGUAACCACAUUUCUAUGUACAGUAUACAUCAAACUAUUACUGACGGUAACCACAUUUCUAUGUACAGUACGGUAACCACAUUUCUAUGUACAGUAUACAUCAAACUAUUACUGACGGUAACCACAUUUCUAUGUACAUUAAACAUCCAACUGUUAUUAACGGUAACCACAUUUCUGUAUACUGUAUAAUAUACAUAAAUCUUUAUCUGGCGGUGACCGUAUUUCAUUAUCGAUCACAUUGUUAUUCCCGUUUUGUCUUUCAUAUCGUUAAAGUAAGCAUUGACGAAGUGAUUGACGUACAUACAUUAUCAUAAGUUUAUAUAUAUAUAUUUAUAUUUGUUGUACAUGGACGUAUGUGUAUGAAAUCCGUUGUCAUGACGAUGUGGAAUUGAUCCACAUAUAUCACGUAAUAAUAAAACAUAAAAAAAAUGU